rnacentral:misc_RNA from 1 species
UUUCCGUAGGUGAACCUGCGGAAGGAUCAUUCAUAAUAAGUGUAUUACUGCACUUUUUAAAAAUAGUACUCACCUUGUGUGCGAUGUUGUGUUUCUUUUCGGAGAAACACCUACACCAACCUAUAACCUUGAACCACUUUGUCUGAAAAACUAUUAUGAAUACUUAAUUCAAAAUACAACUUUCAACAACGGAUCUCUUGGCUCUC